rnacentral:sRNA from 1 species
ACCCAGUCCGCGAGAACCGGGCGGACCGC